CCUACGGUGGGCAGCAGUGAGGAAUAUUGGUCAAUGGCCGAGAGGCUGAACCAGCCAAGUCGCGUGAGUGAAGAAUGUCCUAUGGAUUGUAAACCUCUUUUGUCAGGGAGCAAAGUCACCCACGGGCGGGUGUUGGAGAGUACCUGAAGAAAAAGCAUCGGCUAAUUCCGUGCCAGGAGCCGCGGUAAUACGGAGGAUGUGAGCGUUAUCGGGAUUUAUUGGGGUUAAGGGGUGCGUAGGCGGGUUAUCAAGUCCGCGGGAAAGUCGUGGAUGUAAACUCCAACCAGCCGUUGAAAAUGAUGAUCUUGAGUGAGCGAGAGGAUAGCGGAAUGCGGGGUGUAGCGGUGAAAUGCAUAGAUAUCACGCAGAACUCCGAUUGCGAAGGCAGCAUACCGGCGCCCGACUGACGCUGAGGCACGAAAGCAUGGGUAUCGAACAGGAUUAGAUACCCUUGUAGUC
rnacentral:rRNA from 1 species